GUGCCAGCCGCCGCGGUAAUACGGAGGGUGCAAACGUUGCUCGGAAUCAUUGGGCGUAAAGCGCACGUAGGCGGCCGAUUAAGUCGGAUGUGAAAGCCCUGGGCUCAACCCAGGAAGUGCAUUCGAAACUGAUCGGCUUGAAUAUGGAAGAGGGUCGCGGAAUUCCCGGUGUAGAGGUGAAAUUCGUAGAUAUCGGGAGGAACACCAGUGGCGAAGGCGGCGACCUGGGCCAAUAUUGACGCUGAGGUGCGAAAGCGUGGGGAGCAAACAGGAUUAGAUACCCUCGUAGUCC
rnacentral:rRNA from 1 species